UGGGGCUCACUUGCAUUAAGAUAAGUUGCA
rnacentral:piRNA from 1 species